UCUACUACUAGGUCCUUCUUUUUCCUUUAUUCUGCUGUCGAGGGGCGCAAAAACUUGUAGCACAAGUAAAUGAUCCGUGGUGGUCGCACAUGUUCCCUAAAGCUAUGCCUGUAGAUAUAAUUUUUUGUUGUUGACAUGUCUGUCGAGGCAAUUAGAUUAGAAGGAUCUACUAAAUAAUCGGAAGUUUUUACAUGUAUACCAUGCACAUCCAGUUUGCUAUCACAUGUUAAUGAGGAAACGGGUCGAGUCAAGCUUUACUCUGGAUUCGAACACGAAAAAGAAUGUGACGGAGUACACGGAAAUUGUCUUCCACGUGAAAAGCAGUGAACAACCCAAAGCAGUUCAGCCGAGUGACGAUGAUCGAUCCGUUAGCAAAGCCCUCUCGCACCCCACCAAUACGGACUGAGUUAUGCACUACAUCGAGAAAGCACUGAACGUUAAAUUCUAAUAAAUGUUAUGGACCGGACUUUAAAUCAGUUGUUGAUCCCGUUGGGCACAUUCUUCACUGCUGAACCGUGAGACAUGUUGAUGGAAUAAUUUUCUACAUCCUGUAUUUAAUGGCUUGAUUGAACGGCAUUGUGUAAGGCAUCACUAAUCGAUUUGCUACCUC